UACGUAGGGCGCAAGCGUUGUCCGGAAUUAUUGGGCGAAAGAGCUCGUAGGCGGCUUGUCACGUCGGGGUGUGAAAGCCCGGGGCUUAACCCCGGGUCUGCAUUCGAUACGGGGCUGGCUAGAGUGUGGUAGGGGAGAUCGGAAUUCCAGGUGUAGCGGUGAAAUGCGUAGAUAUCUGGAGGAACACCGGUGGCGAAGGCGCAUCCUGGACCGGCAUUGACGCUGAGGCGCGAAAGCCAGGGGAGCAAACGGG
rnacentral:rRNA from 1 species